rnacentral:rRNA from 1 species
AUGGCGGCCCCCGCCCUCCCGUCCUUCCUCAGGCAAAGCAACAAGGACAACCCACAGAGCAUCAGCCGGAGCACUUCUUCCUCCCCUCCGUUCUUCUCCGGCUCCGGUGCUCUCGUACGCGCGUUCGUCCGAGACCACCACCUCGACCAAGAAGAGAUGGAGAUGAAGAAGAUCGCCUGCGCCGUCCUUGUCGCCGCCUCCGCCACCGUGGCCCUCGCCGCCGAAGCCCCGGCCAUGGCCCCGGCCCCCGGCGCCGCCGUCGCCGGCUCCGCCGCCGCAGCCGUCCCGGCCGUCGGCGCCGUGCUCGGGGCCACCGUGCUCUCCUUCUUCGCCUACUACCUGCAGUAA